GAUCCAGACUUUGAUUAUGGCUCAGGAUGAACGCUAGCUACAGGCUUAACACAUGCAAGUCGAGGGGCAGCGGGAUUGAAGCUUGCUUCAAUUGCCGGCGACCGGCGCACGGGUGAGUAACGCGUAUCCAACCUUCCGUACACUCAGGGAUAGCCUUUCGAAAGAAAGAUUAAUACCUGAUGGUAUCUUAAGCACACAUGUAAUUAAGAUUAAAGAUUUAUCGGUGUACGAUGGGGAUGCGUUCCAUUAGGUAGUAGGCGGGGUAACGGCCCACCUAGCCAACGAUGGAUAGGGGUUCUGAGAGGAAGGUCCCCCACAUUGGAACUGAGACACGGUCCAAACUCCUACGGGAGGCAGCAGUGAGGAAUAUUGGUCAAUGGACGAGAGUCUGAACCAGCCAAGUAGCGUGAAGGAUGAAGGUCCUACGGAUUGUAAACUUCUUUUAUAAGGGAAUAAACCCUCCCACGUGUGGGAGCUUGUAUGUACCUUAUGAAUAAGCAUCGGCUAACUCCGUGCCAGCAGCCGCGGUAAUACGGAGGAUGCGAGCGUUAUCCGGAUUUAUUGGGUUUAAAGGGAGCGCAGACGGGUCGUUAAGUCAGCUGUGAAAGUUUGGGGCUCAACCUUAAAAUUGCAGUUGAUACUGGCGUCCUUGAGUGCGGUUGAGGUGUGCGGAAUUCGUGGUGUAGCGGUGAAAUGCUUAGAUAUCACGAAGAACUCCGAUUGCGAAGGCAGCACACUAAUCCGUAACUGACGUUCAUGCUCGAAAGUGUGGGUAUCAAACAGGAUUAGAUACCCUGGUAGUCCACACGGUAAACGAUGGAUACUCGCUGUUGGCGAUAUACUGUCAGCGGCUUAGCGAAAGCGUUAAGUAUCCCACUUGGGGAGUACGCCGGCAACGGUGCAACUCAAAUGAAUUGACGG
rnacentral:rRNA from 1 species